UCUCCAUGACACCUUGGGACCUGCCUCUUGUGGCAGCCUCCCUUCCUAGGCAUGGAAGAGCAUCUGCUUGUUGAUGGCAAAGCUGCCACCAUUUCAUUGGUAGCAGAUUCUGACUUGUGCAAGCGACAAGG
rnacentral:snoRNA from 1 species